rnacentral:rRNA from 1 species
UCAAGCUACUAAGGGCAUACGGCGGAUGCCUAGGCGCCAUCAGCCGAUGAAGGACGCGGUAAGCUGCGAAAAGCUACGGGGAACUGCAAGCAAGUAUUGAUCCGUAGAUGUCCGAAUGGGGAAACCCACCUGCCGUCAUGGGCAGGUAUCCGAAAGGAAGGGAACCCGGGGAACUGAAACAUCUAAGUACCCGGAGGAAGAGAAAUCAAACGAGAUGCCCACAGUAGCGGCGAGCGAAGAGGGCAGAGGGCAAACCGGGGAGCUACGGCUCUCCGGGGUUGAGGACUGCAUUUAGUCUCAAUGGUCUAUCCGAACUACCUGGAAAGGUAGGCAAUACAGUGUAAAAGCCACGUAGGUUAAAGGCCAAAGAGAUGAGCAGUAUCCAGAGUACCACGAGGCACGAGGAAUCUUGUGGGAAGCCGGGGGGACCACCCUCCAACCCUAAACACUGAAUGGCGACCGAUAGCGCAUAGUACCGUGAGGGAAAGGUGAAAAGAACCCCGGGAGGGGAGUGAAAGAGAACCUGAAACCGUAUGUCUACAAGCAGUCGGAGCGAAAGCGACGGCGUGCCUAUUGAAGAAUGAACCAACGAGUUACGUGCACUAGCGAGGUUAAGUGGAAGACACGGAGCCGAAGCGAAAGCGAGUCUUAAGAGGGCGGAUAGUUAGUGUACGUAGACCCGAAACCGCAGUGAUCUACCCAUGUCCAGGUUGAAGCGCAGGUAAAAUUGCGUGGAGGACCGAACCUGUGAGCGUUGAAAAGCUUUAGGAUGAGAUGUGGGUAGAGGUGAAAUUCCAAUCGAACGCGGAGAUAGCUGGUUCUCCCCGAAAUAGCUUUAGGGCUAGCCUCAAGUAGUAAGUAUAGGCGGUAGAGCACUGAUCGGGCUAGGGGCCAUAAAGGUUACCGAACCCUGUCAAACUCCGAAUGGUUAUACUGUAGAGCUUGGGAGUCAGACUACGAGUGAUAAGAUCCGUGGUCAAAAGGGAAACAGCCCAGACCACCAGCUAAGGUCCCCAAUGUCGUACUAAGUGGAAAAGGAUGUGGGGUCUCUAAAACAACCAGGAUGUUGGCUUAGAAGCAGCCACCAUUUAAAGAGUGCGUAAUAGCUCACUGGUCGAGAGACCCUGCGCCGAAGAUUACCGGGGCUAAAGUACGAAACCGAAGCUGUGGCUACGACGUAAGUCGUGGGGUAGGGGAGCGUUCUGUGAGGGCUGAAGUCGUUCUGUAAGGAACGGUGGACUUCACAGAAGUGAGAAUGUUGGUAUGAGUAGCGAAAAGAAUGGUGAGAAUCCAUUCCACCGAAAGCAUAAGGAUUCCUGGGCAACGAUCGUCGUCCCAGGGUAAGUCGGGACCUAAUCCGAGGCAUGGAGCGUAGGAGAUGGACAACUGGCAGAUAUUCCAGUACCGGUAAUGAUUGUUUGAGCGAUGGAGUGACACAGGAGGGCAGGCAGGCAGGAGAUUGGUUGUUCCUGUACAAGCGUGUAGGAUGGGACGCAGGCAAAUCCGCGUCCUGUGAGUCUGAGGCGUGAUGUGGAGGUUCCGGAAACGGAACCGAAGCUGCUGACCCCACACUGUCGAGAAAAGCUUCUAGUUAGAGAAUUACCGCCCGUACCGUAAACCGACACAGGUAUGCGGGGAGAGAAUCCUAAGGUGCGCGGGAGAACCCUCGUUAAGGAACUCGGCAAAAUGUACCCGUAACUUCGGGAUAAGGGUAGCCGCUGUUGUGAAGUCUGCACAGAUGGAGCAUGAGGCGGUCGCAGAGAAGAGGCCCAAGCGACUGUUUACCACAAACACAGGUGCCUGCUAAAGAGAAAUCUGACGUAUAGGUGCUGACACCUGCCCAGUGCCGGAAGGUUAAGGAAGGAUGUCCGGAGCAAUCCAAAGCAUUCGACCGAAGCCCCGGUGAACGGCGGCCGUAACUAUAACGGUCCUAAGGUAGCGAAAUUCCUUGUCGGGUAAG